GCCGGAUUGGCGCAGUGGUAGUCGCGUCUCACUUGUAUGGUCGUUGACAACGGAAAAAAAUUCAAUGAGAAGGUCAUUCGUUCAAUCCGGAUAUUCGGCA